AUGCUUCUCUGUGUCUGAGUGCUGUUGCAGGCGGUUCAGGCACUCCGUCCUCUCUGCAGAAAGUCGCUCAACCAUCAGCUUGUCCAAAACACGCAUUUGGUGCUGGGUCUUAUUCUCCAUCUGCCCCAGCUUUGUAUUCAUUUUGUCCUGAACCGAUCCCAGCUCUGCUUUUAUCUCCUCCACAGUAGCCUCCAACUGAUUCUCCAGCUUGUUGAUUAGAGGUUCACAUCGACAACCAUUUAUUGGUGCCUGCAUCACUUUCCCAUCCUUGCCCCGGUACAAUGUGUAGAGCUGAUACGCCCUGAACUCAUGGGGUGGGGGUGGGGAUGAACACCGAUGCCUGUUCCUCUUUUUAGGGUGAUUAUGAGCAUGCAGGUUCUUCUGGUGUCCAGGCUGUUGGUCGGCUGGUGGGGUGGGGUCAGAAAAUGCUGACACCUUGGGCCUUGACUUUCUCCUCCUGUCAUCCUUUGCUCUGGGUUCUGGGGAGGCUGACAGGAACUCUUCUCUGGCUUCUUCUUUUCUGGCCACAGCCUGUUCACUGCUGGGGGUGUCUCCUGCUGAGACACUGCCCUUGGUAACCGCUACCCUGGCGCCCUUGUUGAUGAGCUGAACCACAUUCUCUGUUUGGCCUUUGUACGCAGCUACGAGAAGGCGCUCUGAAAGUGCAGCGACCGCAUCUUGCUGGCUCAUGAAUUAGGAAAGAAAGGUUUUCAGGGAAGCGGUAGACAAGUUCCUUCAGCUCAACACGAAGUCACUGGCCCGGCCUGGCACCCAGAGCUUCCAGAACACUUCCUCCUUCUGAGAAGAUCUACUCCCACAGGUAGGGCCCUUAACACAGUACUACCUAUGAGGACACUCAGCACUGACUGCUCACGGAACCUGGUGCCCACCAGGACUAUUUGCGAAAGAAGGGAAAUGACAGGGUGGACACGCUCUGCUUUAGCAAGCCCAUGACUCAUUAUAAAUACACCCCACUGUCACAAAGAAACAAGUAUGUUUAUUUCUUGAGCCAUUUAAAGCACAAAAACUCUCUUCUUCUAACUCUGUCACUGAAUCUUUUGAAAUAACCACCUCUGCAGGAGGCAUAGAGGCUGUUACAGUGAAAGCUGAGUGACAUCUGAAUAUUAUUCAGGAAACCUGUGACAUACCCUUCCAAGAAAAGCUGCUUACAGAUGUAAAAAUCACAUAGGAGGAAUAAGCACAUAUCACCGAAUAAAGAUGUGACUGACAGAAGGCUUGGGAGGUAGAGACCGUCCCUUUUUAUGUAGGACAAUAACUUAUUGACUGACCAGCACUGCUAGACCACCAGAGCCUCCAAGUCAGGGCUGGGCACUCCCAUCACUUGGCAAAUGACCAUGCGCAUACUCAAAGUUCAGACCAAGUGUUAUCUCUGCUAAGCCUUCUGCUGUCCCUGCCUUGCCCUAGACAAGAUG
rnacentral:lncRNA from 1 species